rnacentral:rRNA from 1 species
ACCGCAUAAGACCACAGCACCGCAUGGUGCAGGGGUAAAAACUCCGGUGGUACAGGAUGGACCCGCGUCUGAUUAGCUGGUUGGUGAGGUAACGGCUCACCAAGGCGACGAUCAGUAGCCGACCUGAGAGGGUGAUCGGCCACAUUGGAACUGAGACACGGUCCAAACUCCUACGGGAGGCAGCAGUGGGGAAUAUUGCACAAUGGGCGAAAGCCUGAUGCAGCAACGCCGCGUGAGCGAUGAAGGCCUUCGGGUCGUAAAGCUCUGUCCUCAAGGAAGAUAAUGACGGUACUUGAGGAGGAAGCCCCGGCUAACUACGUGCCAGCAGCCGCGGUAAUACGUAGGGGGCUAGCGUUAUCCGGAUUUACUGGGCGUAAAGGGUGCGUAGGCGGUCUUUUAAGUCAGGAGUGAAAGGCUACGGCUCAACCGUAGUAAGCUCUUGAAACUGGAGGACUUGAGUGCAGGAGAGGAGAGUGGAAUUCCUAGUGUAGCGGUGAAAUGCGUAGAUAUUAGGAGGAACACCAGUAGCGAAGGCGGCUCUCUGGACUGUAACUGACGCUGAGGCACGAAAGCGUGGGGAGCAAACAGGAUUAGAUACCCUGGUAGUCCACGCCGUAAACGAUGAGUGCUAGGUGUCGGGGAGGAAUCCUCGGUGCCGCAGCUAACGCAAUAAGCACUCCACCUGGGGAGUACGACCGCAAGGUUGAAACUCAAAGGAAUUGACGGGGGCCCGCACAAGCGGUGGAGCAUGUGGUUUAAUUCGAAGCAACGCGAAGAACCUUA